CCUACGGGGGGCAGCAGUGAGGAAUAUUGGUCAAUGGACGAGAGUCUGAACCAGCCAAGUAGCGUGAAGGAUGACUGCCCUAUGGGUUGUAAACUUCUUUUAUAUGGGAAUAAAAUGUUCCACGUGUGGGAUUUUGUAUGUACCAUAUGAAUAAGGAUCGGCUAACUCCGUGCCAGCAGCCGCGGUAAUACGGAGGAUCCGUGCGUUAUCCGGAUUUAUUGGGUUUAAAGGGAGCGUAGGUGGAUUGUUAAGUCAGUUGUGAAAGUUUGCGGCUCAACCGUAAAAUUGCAGUUGAAACUGGCAGUCUUGAGUACAGUAGAGGUGGGCGGAAUUCGUGGUGUAGCGGUGAAAUGCUUAGAUAUCACGAAGAACUCCGAUUGCGAAGGCAGUUCACUGGACUGCAACUGACACUGAGGCUCGAAAGUGUGGGUAUCAAACAGGAUUAGAUACCCGGGUAGUC
rnacentral:rRNA from 1 species